UACGUAGGGUGCGAGCGUUGCUCGGAAUCACUGGGCGUAAAGCGCACGUAGGCGGAUUUCUAAGUCAGGGGUGAAAUCCUGGAGCUCAACUCCAGAACUGCCUUUGAUACUGGGAAUCUCGAGUCCGGGAGAGGUGAGUGGAACUGCGAGUGUAGAGGUGAAAUUCGUAGAUAUUCGCAAGAACACCAGUGGCGAAGGCGGCUCACUGGCCCGGUACUGACGCUGAGGUGCGAAAGCGUGGGGAGCAAACAGG
rnacentral:rRNA from 1 species